GAUGAACGCUGGCGGCGUGCUUAACACAUGCAAGUCGAACGGAAAGGCCUCAGCUUGCUGGGGUACUCGAGUGGCGAACGGGUGAGUAACACGUGGGUGAUCUGCCCUGUACUUUGGGAUAAGCUUGGGAAACUGGGUCUAAUACCGAAUAUGACCACUUCUUGGAUGUUGUGGUGGAAAGCUUUUGCGGUGUGGGAUGAGCCUGCGGCCUAUCAGCUUGUUGGUGGGGUAAUGGCCUACCAAGGCGGCGACGGGUAUCCGGGCUGAGAGGGUGUACGGACACAGUGGGACUGUGAUACGGCCCAGACUCCUACGGGAGGCAGCAGUGGGGAAUAUUGCACAAUGGGCGUAAGCCUGAUGCAGCGGCGCCGCGUGGGGGAUGAAGGCCUUCGGGUUGUAAACUCCUUUCGCGAUCGACGAAGCCACUUGUGGUGACGGUAGGUAGAUAAGAAGCACCGGCUAACUACGUGCCAGCCGCCGCCGUAA
rnacentral:rRNA from 1 species